rnacentral:rRNA from 1 species
GACGAACGCUGGCGGCGUGCUUAACACAUGCAAGUCGAACGGAAAGGCCCUGCUUUUGUGGGGUGCUCGAGUGGCGAACGGGUGAGUAACACGUGAGUAACCUGCCCUUUACUUUGGGAUAACUUCAGGAAACUGUGGCUAAUACCUGAUAGGAGCUCCUGCUGCAUGGUGGGGGUUGGAAAGUUUCGGCGGGUGGGGAUGGACUCGCGGCUUAUCAGCUUGUUGGUGGGGUAGUGGCUUACCAAGGCUUUGACGGGUAGCCGGCCUGAGAGGGUGACCGGCCACAUUGGGACUGAGAGACGGCCCAGACUCCUACGGGAGGCAGCAGUGGGGAAUAUUGCACAAUGGGCGGAAGCCUGAUGCAGCAACGCCGCGUGCGGGAUGACGGCCUUCGGGUUGUAAACCGCUUUCGCCUGUGACGAAGCGUGAGUGACGGUAAUGGGUAAAGAAGCACCGGCUAACUACGUG